rnacentral:lncRNA from 1 species
UAUAGGUUGUUUUCACAGGUUCUCCAAGGGUAAGAAAAAGGGUAAAUGAUUUUAUUUUAAAUAAAUGUAUUGGUUUAAAUCUACUGCUCCAUUAGUUGUUUUGAUUUUCUACCAACCUUUACUUCUGUGGCGGUGAUAUAGUGUGAUGUCCUUACUGGGCUAGUGUAACUCAUUUCUUAUUUAACAAUUUCAGAUCAGGAGGACCUGGUUCCCGAGCCCGAUCCACAAGAAGACUACGAGUAGAUGCUAGAUGCUUUAUAGUUUCCUUUAUUUUUCUCAUUUCUCAUAUUUCUUUCAGAGAACUUAUUCCGUGAUGUUGUUUAGUACUUUUAAGUU